GCGGGCCCGCUCGGCGAGGGCGCCGCCAUCUUGAGGAGGUGCGCGUGACGAGCGGCGAGGCGCCAUUUUGGGGAAGUGGCGUCGUUCGGCGUGAGCUCGAGUGAUGAAGUAAACGUCGUUGGACUGAUCUUGCAGAGUGAGGAGUAGCGAGGAGGAGGUUCAUACAGGGCUGGAUGGAGGCAUAGCAUGGAGGCAUUUUGAUAAACUCAUCCAGAUCACCUGAGCAUGCUGCUUACAACUCAUCCAUCAGCUCCCAGCUGGCUGUGACGUGGGCUGCUUGGCAGAGAGGAAGUCUGGUGAAGAAAAUCCGAAGGGGAACUGUGAGUGCUGAAUGAGUGCUGGUUGAUGCAGUGCUGGUGACUAUGCUGGGGAUUCCAUUGCUUCAGGCUGCCCUGUGUCCUGGCCUCUGGGGCAAUCCCACACGGACCCCUGGGACUGACAUCCUCUGGCCGUGCUGGUCAGGAAUAUAGAUACAGAUCAGGAAUACAGAUCUGCUGUGAUAGAGCAGCAGAUCACAGAAUCAUAGAAGGGCUUUGGCUGGAAGGGACCUUAAAGAUCAUCAGUCCUGGCACCUGCUGUGGGCUGGCUGCUGCCUGUCAGGUCCGUGCCACAGCCGGCCCAGCCCAGCACGGGGCUCUGCCUGCCCCGUCGGACGGUCUGGUCACACGUGUUUCCUUCUAACAAAGACAUUGUUAUAAUAGAGGGAUUAAUCAAAAGUUGGGCUAAGGUGACGCCUGCCCGCUCCGGUCGGCCUGUGGUUUCAGCAGUUCUGAAGUAAUGGGCAGCAUCUUGCUCUGCACUAUAAACAUCUGGUUGAGGAGACUGAAAGAAUUAAAUUCUGAGCCUGAAAAAUGACACGUUGAGUAGAAGCCCUGCUUUCAUCUCUGCGAUAAUGUUUUUAGGAGAAUACGCGCAGUGUCUCAGCGUUAACAUUCUUUAACUGCUCCUCAAAUUACUAAUGCUUCACGUUGCUUUAAUCCAUUCUGCUGUAAUAGCUUUAUUAGAUUAAACUCCCUGCUGAGCA